UGAGUUUGUGUCAUAGCUCCAACUGGUUCAGCCAAUACAUAUUUCGGCUGUCGUGGAUGUGGGAGACAGGCGUUAACUGCAGAGUGCAGAGAGGAACGGAGCAAAAAAAGAAAUGGAUUUUAUUUAUUUAUUUAUUCAUGAGAGACAGAGAGAAACAGAGGGAGAAGCAGGCUCCCAAGGAGCUGGAAGCCCGAUGUGGGACUUGAUCCCAGGACCCUGGGAUCAUGACCUGAGCCGAAGGCAGACGCUUAACCAUCUGAGCCACCCAGGCGCCCGGUAAAUGAUUCUUUAGCUACUAAUUAAAACACUGAGAUGGAAAAGAGAAUUCUUCAUGUCAAAUGCAUAAUUCAGAAGUAAAUGUAACUCUGGGCUACACCUUGUGAGAUAAAAUUAUAUACACAAAACCAGCAGAUUGAUCAAAAAGGACAGAAUCUCUGGUGUGUCACUAUGUUUGUUGGAUAAUGAUACUGGAAAAUGUCUCUAACCCUUUUGAUAGCAUGAAAUUAUUUCUAGCAAAACACUGUGCUUCAGAUAAAUGGGAAUGAUUUUCCACUGGUUAACAUGGGGUAGACAAUGUAGUCUUUCAUUUAACACCAAGUCUUUCAAACACAGUGUAUUAAGCACGUCUUUUUAUCCUGAUGUUUCAAUGUGCGGGAUCUUAGUGAGUCUGAUAGGACUGCCUGGUCCAGGGCCAGCCAAUUCCUAGGGUUAGUAAAGCACUCACCUAUGAGAGUGACUGUCAUAUGCAAACCAACCAAUUUUGAGUCUGUAUACCUCACCGCCUCUCAAUCAGGCUCUUACACUCAGAGACAUGAUUCACCUGUCCUUACCACUCCAAAGCCAAAAAAAAAAAAAAAAAAAUAUUUUGUUAAAAAUCCAUAGUGUGUCUGUCAAUAGA